rfam:Triticum aestivum genome assembly, contig: Triticum_aestivum_CS42_TGACv1_scaffold_603104_7DL
AUAGUACUCCCUCCGUCCGGAAAUACUUGUCGGUGAAAUGCAUAAAAAUGGAUGUAUCUAGAACUAAAGUACGUCUAGAUACAUCCAUUCCUCCGACAGGUAUUUCCGGACGGAGGGAGUAUAUU